CGUGGGCCGUUAGAAAAGCGCGGGAAGAGCUCCUGCUUGCUGUCAGCGCCUGUCCUCAGCACGGCCCUGAGCGCCUCAGCUUCCCCCCCGGCCUGCUGCCUCAGCCAGGGCCCGGCAUAAGGGAAGGCGUCGGGCCUGAGCCUCCCCGGGCAGCAGGGACAUUUUGCUGCAACAUCAGUUGAAUGAUGCAUCUCUUUGUAUCCCCUACGCGUUACCUGUGAGCAUGGAACUGACUUCAUGUAAGGAAUGUAUCCCUCUCCUUACUCUAAAGGAGUAGAGUUAAGAGCCAUGAAUUUCAGAGGCUGGCAGGUAAACUUCAAUGCAUCCACUUAAACAACAAUCAAUAACCUACCCUA